rnacentral:misc_RNA from 1 species
UUUCCGUAGGUGAACCUGCGGAAGGAUCAUUAUUGUAUAACCGAGGUGCGAGGGCUGUCGCUGACCCGAAAGUUCGUGCACGCCCGAGUGCCCUCACCCACAUCCAUCUCACCCCUAUGUGCACCACCGCGUGGGUCCCCCUUUGGCUUGUUCGGAGGGGGGCUUACGUUUUCACACAAACUUUGUAUGCAGUGUAGAAUGUAUUUUUUGUUUUUGCGAUCACGCAAUCAAUACAACUUUCAACAACGGAUCUCUUGGCUCUC